AACGAACGCUGGCGGCAGGCUUAACACAUGCAAGUCGAGCGCCCCGCAAGGGGAGCGGCAGACGGGUGAGUAACGCGUGGGAACGUACCCUUUGCUACGGAAUAGCUCCGGGAAACUGGAAUUAAUACCGUAUGUGCCCUACGGGGGAAAGAUUUAUCGGCAAAGGAUCGGCCCGCGUUGGAUUAGCUAGUUGGUGGGGUAAUGGCCUACCAAGGCGACGAUCCAUAGCUGGUCUGAGAGGAUGAUCAGCCACAUUGGGACUGAGACACGGCCCAAACUCCUACGGAGGCAGCAGUGGGGAAUAUUGGACAAUGGGCGCAAGCCUGAUCCAGCCAUGCCGCGUGAGUGAUGAAGGCCUUAGGGUUGUAAAGCUCUUUCACCGGAGAAGAUAAUGACGGUAUCCGGAGAAGAAGCCCCGGCCAACUUCGUGCCAGCCGCCGCGGUAAAAC
rnacentral:rRNA from 1 species